CCUACGGGUGGCAGCAGUGGGGAAUAUUGGACAAUGGGCGAAAGCCUGAUCCAGCCAUGCCGCGUGUGUGAAGAAGGCCUUCGGGUUGUAAAGCACUUUCAGUGGGGAAGAAAGCCUUGGGGCUAAUACCCUCGAGGAAGGACAUCACCCACAGAAGAAGCACCGGCUAACUCCGUGCCAGCAGCCGCGGUAAUACGGAGGGUGCGAGCGUUAAUCGGAAUUACUGGGCGUAAAGCGCGCGUAGGCGGUCUGAUAAGCCGGUUGUGAAAGCCCCGGGCUCAACCUGGGAACGGCACCCGGAACUGUCAGGCUAGAGUGCAGGAGAGGAAGGUAGAAUUCCCGGUGUAGCGGUGAAAUGCGUAGAGAUCGGGAGGAAUACCAGUGGCGAAGGCGGCCUUCUGGACUGACACUGACGCUGAGGUGCGAAGGCGUGGGUAGCAAACAGGAUUACAUACCCGAGUAGU
rnacentral:rRNA from 1 species